UCUUACUUUAAUUAGUAAAAACAAUUUGUAUACCACUAUUAAAAUAAUAAUAUACAAUUAUUAUUAGAAUAUAAUUUAUAUAAUAAAUUAAGUCAAGGUGCAGUAAAAAUUAAAGAAUGAAGUGAAUUACAUUUCUUUUUAGAAAAAAAAAUGAAAAAUUAUUUCGGAUUUGAAAGUUAAAUUAAAAUAGUAUGUUAAUUUGAAUUUAGCUCUAAGA
rnacentral:rRNA from 1 species